rnacentral:tRNA from 1 species
GGAAAAGUACCCAUAGGUAAGGUAAUGUAUUUGCUCUAUACUGUGCUAUCUGCACUUAGGUGUUCGAUUCACCUCUUUUCCG